GACGAACGCUGGCGGCGUGCUUAAUACAUGCAAGUAGAACGCACAGUUUAUACCGUAGCUUGCUACACCAUAGACUGUGAGUUGCGAACGGGUGAGUAACGCGUAGGUAACCUGCCUGGUAGCGGGGGAUAACUAUUGGAAACGAUAGCUAAUACCGCAUAAUAUUAAUUAUUGCAUGAUAAUUAAUUGAAAGGUGCAAUUGCACCACUACCAGAUGGACCUGCGUUGUAUUAGCUAGUAGGUGAGGUAACGGCUCACCUAGGCGACGAUACAUAGCCGACCUGAGAGGGUGAUCGGCCACACUGGGACUGAGACACGGCCCAGACUCCUACGGGAGGCAGCAGUAGGGAAUCUUCGGCAAUGGACGAAAGUCUGACCGAGCAACGCCGCGUGAGUGAAGAAGGUUUUCGGAUCGUAAAGCUCUGUUGUAAGAGAAGAACGGGUGUGAGAGUGGAAAGUUCACACUGUGACGGUAUCUUACCAGAAAGG
rnacentral:rRNA from 1 species